AUCGAGGAUCUCACACCCCAACAAACGUAUCUUCUUCUUUUUCCCUCCGUUAUCACGUUGAGACGAAUCUUGACUAAUAUAACCUUUGUCGACCCUGGCCAAGAAUAGAGAAGAGAAACCUUUUUUUCAAUUCAAAACUUUUCUUGCAUAUUGCCUUCCGACCAAAGCAAUGAACUUCUCCUUAGUUUAUGUUUCGUCUAAUCCCAGCGAACUAAAUAUAAUCCCACAGAAUUAACAGAAUCUUUGCUCAUAACAAU
rnacentral:lncRNA from 1 species